GACGAACGCUGGCGGCGUGCUUAACACAUGCAAGUCGAACGGAAAGGCCCUGCUUUUGUGGGGUGCUCGAGUGGCGAACGGGUGAGUAACACGUGAGUAACCUGCCCUUGACUUUGGGAUAACUUCAGGAGACUGGGGCUACUACCGGAUAGGAGCUCCUGCUGCAUGGUGGGGGUUGGAAAGUUUCGAGGUUGGGGAUGGACUCGCGGCUUAUCCGCUUGUUGGUGGGGUAGCGGCAUACCAAGGCUUUGACGGGUAGCCGGCCUGAGAGGGUGACCGGCCACAUUGGGACUGGGAUACGGCCCAGACUACUACGGGAGGCAGCGGUGGGGAAGAUUGCACAGUGGGCGGAAGCCUGGUGCAGCAACGCCGCGUGCGGGAUGACGGCCUUCGGGUUGUAAACCGCUUUCGCCUGUGACGAGGCGUGAGUGACGGUAAUGGGUAAAGAAGCACCGGCUAACUACGUG
rnacentral:rRNA from 1 species